AUUGAACGCUGGCGGCAGGCCUAACACAUGCAAGUCGAACGAGCGGCGGACGGGUGAGUAAUGUUUGGGAAUCUGCCCUAUAGAGGGGGAUAACUACUGGAAACUGUAGCUAAUACCGCAUACUAUAGGAUGAGCCCCAGUGGGAUUAGCUAGUUGGUGGGGUAAAGGCUCCCCAAGGCGACGAUCUCUAGCUGGUCUGAGAGGAUGACCAGCCACACUGGAACUGAGACACGGUCCAGACUCCUACGGGAGGCAGCAGUGGGGAAUAUUGCACAAUGGGCGCAAGCCUGAUGCAGCCAUGCCGCGUGUAUGAAGAAGGCCUUCGGGUUGUAAAGUACUUUCAGCGGGGAGGCGUUAACCGCAGAAGAAGCACCGGCUAACUCCGUGCCAGCAGCCGCGGUAAUAC
rnacentral:rRNA from 1 species